rnacentral:tRNA from 1 species
GGCUCCAUAGUGUUGUGGUUAGCCUUUCUGCUUUACACGCAGAAGUUUCUGGGUUCGCACUACAAGUGGAGCCA